UGACCUCAAAUCAGGUAGGAUUACCCGCUGAACUUAAGCAUA
rnacentral:rRNA from 2 species